AGCUCCAAUAGCGUAUAUUAAAGUUGUUGCAGUUAAAAAGCUCGUAGUUGGAUUUCUAGUCUUGACUUGCAGUUCGCCUAGCGGUGUUAACUGUUUGUUUGGACUUACCUCCCGGUUUUCUCUUGUUUCUCUUCAUUGAGUGGCUUGAGUGACUGGAACAUUUACUUUGAAAAAAUUAGAGUGUUUAAAGCAGGCAGUUUGCUUGAAUAUCUGUGCAUGGAAUAAUAGAAUAGGACCUCAGUUCUAUUUUGUUGGUUUUCGGAAUUUGAGGUAAUGAUUAGGAGGGACAGAUGGGGGCAUUCGUAUUACGGUGUUAGAGGUGAAAUUCUUGGAUCGCCGUAAGACGAACUACUGCGAAAGCAUUUGCCAAGAAUGUUUUCA
rnacentral:rRNA from 1 species